GAUGAACGCUAGCGACAGGCUUAACACAUGCAAGUCGAGGGGCAGCAUGAGGUAGCAAUACCUUGAUGGCGACCGGCGCACGGGUGAGUAACGCGUAUGCAACCUGCCCGAUACCGGGGUAUAGCCCAUGGAAACGUGGAUUAACACCCCAUAGUACUUUUAUCCUGCAUGGGAUGUGAGUUAAAUGUUCAAGGUAUCGGAUGGGCAUGCGUCCUAUUAGUUAGUUGGCGGGGUAACAGCCCACCAAGACGAUGAUAGGUAGGGGUUCUGAGAGGAAGGUCCCCCACAUUGGAACUGAGACACGGUCCAAACUCCUACGGGAGGCAGCAGUGAGGAAUAUUGGUCAAUGGACGUAAGUCUGAACCAGCCGAGUCGCGUGAGGGAAGACUGCCCUAUGGGUUGUAAACCUCUUUUAUAAGGGAAGAAUAAGUUCUACGUGUAGAUGAUGCCUGUACCUUAUGAAUAAGCAUCGGCUAACUCCGUGCCAGCAGCCGCAGUAA
rnacentral:rRNA from 1 species